rnacentral:rRNA from 1 species
GACUACUGGGGUAUCUAAUCCCAUUCGCUCCCCACGCUUUCGUGUCUCAGCGUCAGUGUCGUCCCAGCAAGCUGCCUUCGCUUUUGGUGUUCCUGCUGAUAUUAACGGAUUUAACCCCUACACCAGCAAUUCCACUUGCCUCUUCCGAACUCUAGUUUAUCCAUAUCUCCCGCGGCCUCAAGGUUGAGCCUUGAGAUUUAACAGGAGAUGUUAUAAACCGCCUACACACUCUUUACGCCCAAUAAAUCCGGAUAACGCUUGGGGCCCUCGUAUUACCGCUGCUGCUGGCACGAGGUUAGCAGCCCCUUAUUCAACCGGUACCGUCAGUAUUUCGUCCCGAUUAAAAGUAUUUUACACCCCGAAGGGCUUCUUCAUACACGCGGCGUCGCUCCUUCAGCCUUUCGGCCAUUGAGGAAUAUUCUCGACUGCAGCCCCCCGUAGG